CCAACGGGUGGCUGCAGUGGGGAAUAUUGGACAAUGGGGGGAACCCUGAUCCAGCCAUGCCGCGUGUGUGAAGAAGGCCCUCGGGUUGUAAAGCACUUUCAGUGAGGAAGAACGCCUGGUGGUUAAUACCCAUCAGGAAAGACAUCACUCACAGAAGAAGCACCGGCUAACUCCGUGCCAGCAGCCGCGGUAAUACGGAGGGUGCGAGCGUUAAUCGGAAUUACUGGGCGUAAAGCGCACGUAGGUGGCUUGAUAAGCCGGUUGUGAAAGCCCCGGGCUCAACCUGGGAACGGCAUCCGGAACUGUCAAGCUAGAGUGCAGGAGAGGAAGGUAGAAUUCCCGGUGUAGCGGUGAAAUGCGUAGAGAUCGGGAGGAAUACCAGUGGCGAAGGCGGCCUUCUGGACUGACACUGACACUGAGGUGCGAAAGCGUGGGUAGCAAACAGGAUUAGAUACCCCAGUAGUC
rnacentral:rRNA from 1 species